AGAACAUUGCAUCACCUCAGCAGAAAAAAGUCUACUCACUCCAGUGGUAUUUGUGGGAAGACAAACCAAAGUCACCAACGCUUCCCUUCUGCAAACUGAGCAAGAGUCCAGAGGCUGCCCACCGCCCCCGGCCCAGGCUGACCCUUCUUGGCUUCCCUCGUACUUUUCCCUCACUUUAGGCUGUGGUUCUGGACUUGGGAUUCUUUCUAUCUUCAUUAGGUAUCCUUGCUCAGCUCUCUCCGUACAAAUGCCACACCUGCCAAGCCCUGGAAUCACUCAGUGGAAGGAAAUAUGAAAAAGUCAUCUUGAGAAACCUCUUACUUCAGACAGGACCAGGUCUCCCAUUCCCUACUUCAAGGAUUCAUGAUUUGGGUAGGGUGAAUACUCCUCCCUCAAGGACUGAUCAAAAUCCUUCUAGGACUUGGUGGACACUUCUGCUUACAGUUGUGUAAACUCCCAGCAGACUUUGCAAAAUUAGCAUUAAUCCAAUAAAGCUGAACUGUAUC